rnacentral:rRNA from 1 species
UACGUAGGGGGCAAGCGUUGUCCGGAUUUAUUGGGCGUAAAGAGCGUGUAGGCGGCUUGGUAGGUCCGCUGUGAAAACUCGAGGCUCAACCUCGAGAUGUCGGCGGAAACCACUUGGCUAGAGUCCGGAAGAGGAGAGUGGAAUUCCCGGUGUAGCGGUGAAAUGCGCAGAUAUCGGGAAGAACACCUAUGGCGAAAGCAGCUCUCUGGGACGGUACUGACGCUGAGACGCGAAAGCGUGGGGAGCGAA